CCCGCCUCCCUCUGGGUCUUCUGCCCCCACCCCAACUCUGCAACGCCACAGCGCCGGUCUUCCGCGGGGUUCUUAAGGCCUCGGAGCAGACGUCCUUGUCGAAGGCUGUCGAUCACUUUCCUGCGAAAAUGACGAGAAACUCUAAAGUGUUCACAUUUUAUUUUCCUGUCCAGACUAGAUUAUUGAGCAGCUGAUAAGCUAUUGGCAUCCAGGGACUUUGAUGUGAUCGAGUGCCAGACCUUGGGAUGGAGAGGUUAUCUUGGAUUAUCUGGUCCCAAUCUAAUCACAAAUCCUUAAAAAUGGAAGAGGAAGGCAAAAGUGUUGGUCAGAGAGAUGAAAAGGACAAGCACUCAACCUGCCUGUUGCUGGCUCUGAAAAUGGAGGAAAAGGGCCAUGAGCCAAGAAAUGUGGCAGCCUCUGCAAGAUGAGAAUGACCCUCGCUCAUUUUACAGGGAGCAGGAAAACAGGGACUGUGGCCCUACAACCUCUGGGAACUGAAUUCUGCCAAUAACCCAAAUGAGCAGGAACUAGAUUUUCUCCCAGAACCUCGAGAAUGGAUGUAGCCUGCCAACACUGUUUUUAAUUCAGUUAGACCCAUACUGGACUUCUGGUGUGCAGAACUGUAAAAAAAAUAAAUGUGUGGGGCUGUCUUAAGCUUCUAAGGUUGUAAUACUUUGUUAGAGCCACAUUUGAAAGCUAAUAAAGAUGGU